GGCAUAGCUCAGUGGUAGGGCGCAUGCCUAGCAUGUAUGAGGUCCUGGGUUCAAUCCCCAGUACUGCCA
rnacentral:tRNA from 1 species